GGGUGGACAUCAGUAUGAUAUUUUAUUUGAUAUUAUCUUUCAUUGGAUAUACAAUCUGGUCAUGGAACGUGAAGUUACCUCCAUCCUCCGGAAGUAGAAACCUCCGAGGAAUCGACGCAACGGACAGCGAUCGCGAUCAGUAAGUGCUGGAGAGGUAGGCAGCUUGCGGUGAGAGGCGCCUGUUCUCACCAGAGAGUGAGAAGAACCCGCGGACCAUGCGUUGUGCCUGGCGGUGGGCGGGUU
rnacentral:lncRNA from 1 species